AACGUAGGUACCGAGCGUUAUCCGGAUUUACUGGGCGUAAAGCGCGUUCAGGCGGUUUGGCAAGUCGGGCAUGAAAUCUCUCGGCUCAACCGGGAGAGGUUGUCCGAUACUGCUGGACUUGAGGGCAGUAGAGGGUGGUGGAAUUCCGGGUGUAGUGGUGAAAUGCGUAGAUAUCUGGAGGAACACCGGUGGCGAAGGCGGCAUCCUGGACCAACACUGACGCUGAGGAGCGAAAGCCAGGGGAGCAAACGGG
rnacentral:rRNA from 1 species